rnacentral:rRNA from 1 species
GUCUAUGGCCAUGCCACCCUUAACGUGCCCGAUCCUGUCUUAUCUCAGAAGCUAAGCAGGGUCAGGCCUAGUUAAUACUUGGAUGGGAGACCACCUAGGAACACCAGGUUCUGUAGGCA